CCAAGCAAGCAUCAAGCAGGCAGCUUCUCUUGUAUCUUGAGCAUCUUCCUGAGGUAAAGGGCGGACCUGUACACCCGCUGUUGCUGUUACGGCACAGGAAGCUGGACUGCACCAGACCCAACACAGAAUGAAGACACUGGACCCCACUGGCUACAGAACAGCAGGCCCCAUGUGGGCCCUGGGUAUCCCGUACGUCUACACUGGAAAUUGGGGAUGUCCUGGACUGGGUCAACCUGUAUCUGUUUUCUAAGGAUGAGCAAUAAUCUAAUUCAAGCAAAUUAAUUCAAGCAAAAAAAAAAUAGUUCAAAGGUCACCUACAAGUUCCUGCUCAAGGUACAAACAAGCAAACAAAUAAAUGAAUAAGUAAAUAGCUUGCAAUGUUUUAAACAAGCUUAUGAUUCGGGUUAGGCCACAUUCACAGCUAUGUGCAUGCAACCCUCAGCCCAAAAGUUGGGUGCAUCUGAAGCUUUUUAAUCCUACAAGUGUCUGUGUGGGUUUUCGAUACAGCCCUGUCCUUCCUGUUCCCAAGGCAGCUUCUAACACAGACAGGAUGCACAGGACAGAAGUAGCAUGCAGGCGUGGAGAGAGCUGGGGAGACAGGGAGGAAGGGGUGCACAAGAGGAAGCAAGCCCCCACACUCAGGCCGCGGACAGGCAGCAAUACUCACAGCUGGUAGAAGGGCUGUCGACACCAUCCAAUUCUGCACUGGAGAAGCUGUGCCCAGCUGGGGCAGUGAGCAGUGCUGACUUGAUGGCCCUCCCGUGGACACUGAGCAUGAUGGGAUGGACGUGGCCCCCGAUCCCCGGGCCCGACAGUGACUGCUGCAUGAAGGCAAGCUUGUCCUUGGUCCUGCGCUUCAUGUCAUCCCAUCUGUGCUUAAUGUCCUUGACGGAGCGGGGAACCUGGCUGACGGAGGUGACUUUCCGAGCUAUGCCUUCCCAAAUCUUGUCCCUGUCGGCAUGGGACAGUCGCAUGGUCUCUCUUCCAAAGAGAACCGCUUCGUGACGGGUCACCUCUGUGACCAGAAUGUCCAGCUCCUCCUUGGAGAAUUUGGGCUUCCUCUUACGCUCCGCCAGGGGCAGCAUGUUCCUUGGGUUGAAUAUCCCACAAAGCAUAAUUGGGUAAAUGACCGUCAACGAGGGUGGUCCUCCUUCCUAAUCACAGGCCCCAUCUGGGAAGCCAGGGAACACCUGUGGCCACCUAGGCUCCACCACACCCUCCUCCUACAAUGGCGCCUCUUCCUCCCUCCUCAGAGGGAAGGCAGGAAAACGAGGCAGAAGGAGCCCAGCGACUGCAGGGCAGGGCUACCCUACAGCACCUUGAACUGCACCAGGAAGUUCAAGUUCAUUGGACCUUUGCUGCCUCACUCUCCCCAUCCAGAGCUGGGGUGCCAACCACAGCAGUUUCUGAAGGCUCCAUCUAUGUACAGGAGCCUUAACAACUUAAGGGACUGGAAAAAUGGCUCAGUGGUUAGCACUGACAGCGGAUUAGAGUUUGUAUCCCAGCGACCACAUCAGAAAGUUCACAAAUGCCUCUCAUUCAAGCUCCGAUGGAUCUGUCGCCCCCUCUGGACUUUGUGGGAAGCUGAACAUGUGUGCAUACACACACAUAUAAAUGUAAAAAUUUUGAGAAUCGAAAAAACAGCCCUACAGCGGCCUGCAGUGGCCCGUGGCAUUGGCUGCUAGUGUCCGUCAUGCUGUGGUCACAGAAAGCUUAUUCUGUACUUGUGGCUCAUUUCCCUUUCCCAGUGUCCCCCACAUCUCCGUCCCUGUAUGUGUGCAGAGUAAAACAAGCUCCUCUCCUCCACCAGCUGCUCCACCAGCUGCUCCUCCCCUCCACCAGCUGCUCCACCAGCUGCUCCUCUCCUCCACCAGCUGCUCCACCAGCUGCUCCUCUCCUCCACCAGCUGCUCCACCAGCUGCUCCUCAAGUGGCAUUCUGGGUAAGCUGUGAGGCACCCAUGAACAUCCUCCAAGAGACAUGCUACCCCUGGAAGGACACUAAGGUAGCCUUGAGUUUGCCAAGACUCUUCCACCUGACCUGGUACCUGCUGACCUGGUACCUGCUGACCUGGUACCUGCUCUGGCUCUGGAACCCAAUUUUUUCACAUUGUGGUUCUACCUACCUUUCACUAUAGCUUUGAAAGUUCCACCUGGAGGAACCAGGGUACUGAGGGAAACCUGGAUCCCAUCCCAUAGGCUUCCAAAGCCACACAGGAGAUCGGCACUGCUCAGUUCCUCCAGCCUUCUUUUUCUCCUCCAAGUCAAGGGUAUAAUCAGGUAAAGGAAAGUGGGGGGCUUCGGGACCCAGCUCAGGGCAAAGUCUUGCACUCAGACAGACUUGUGACUAUCCCUGUGGACCACAGGGCCUCUGUAAAACUAGGGUGAACCCUGCAGGGCCCUAAUUAAGUCCCUAUGGGCACUCACAGAGUCUGUGUUAGGAGAUGAGAUUACUGUGGAAUGUCCAAUAAUAUGCUUACCUUUUACCUCAGUGCAAACCAGGAGUGCCCAUGCAUGAAGCUCUGCCCAUCUAGAAUGUCUGAAAGCACUGCCAAAGGCACACAUGUCUCAAGUAACCCCCAGAGGCACAAAGCAGCCCUGAGUUGAGAAUUAACGCACAUGGAGCACCUAACAGAGCUUGCAUAGGUUACCACUCAACAUGAAUAACUAUCCCUUGCCUGGCCCACCACUGAUUUCCUAAAGGCAUCUCUGCAUUGCAUCACCCCAGGCCCCUGAUCCCUGAGAGCACAACUAAGGGAGUCUGUAAAUUAAUAAGAGCUACCAAAAGCAAGGCCACACACAGACACAGCCACUAGAUCCUGGAGCCUUUCCAAGCCUGGACACAGUGCUAAGACCACCAAGGAGCCACUUGGAGUCAGGACACACUAGGGGCAUCAGGACAGAGUCAUGCUAAUAAGGUGGGAGGAGCAGACUCCGGCCCACUGCACCUACCCACAGCUCUGCCUGGUCCCUUGUGCGUUAGAUGAAAAAACCCAGGCUUGCAGGUAAAGAACCCUGGCUUGUAGGUCCAGAGACACAGAGCCACGGUCCUCACUUUUCCAUGGAUGACAUGCCAUUGAGCAAGACUUUGCCCUGCUCUGGUCUCAGUUCAUCAUUGGGGCAUGGCCACCAGCACAGAGCAAUGGCUGUCAGCCUGAGGGGCCACAAUAAUCACUAUAAAGAGCUUGCAAAAUUUUGACGUUCCAGAUCCAUCCCCAACCAAGUUAUAUCCGCAUCCCUGGCAUGCUAAAUAAUGGCUUGGUUGGUUGAGAUGAGGCAACACCUCCUAAGGGACUGUGGGAAAGCAUUUUCCCCGUGAGAAAGCUCAGAAAUGGGGGAAACAUGGAACAGGUCAGUUCUCUAAGCAACAGUUCCUGGAUUUCUGCAAGUGACACCAGGAUGUAUCAGACACGCUCCUUCAGCGGGCCUGGACCUGACUGUUGUGACCCAUGCAAAACCUCAGACAGGCUCUGGUCUGUGCUGUCCAUUGACAGCCAUUUCUGCAAGGCUUGUACUACUUGCCCCAGGUGCCCUCGACAAAGUCCUGCCCCUCUGAAGGUUCGCAUCAAAGGCUCCUUCCUAUUCCAUCUGGACCAUCAUGGCUCACGUCUGUGCUUCUCCACCAUUUACGCGGUGGCAGGUGUGAGCCUUGCGAGGACGAAGAGGGCAAGGUUGGGCAGGGCUGGACCGGCCUCUUCUCCAGUGCCCAUCCUGUGUCUGGACAGAAGCAGUGCUCAGUAUCAGGGAUACGAGACGCUGCAGAGCUGACCUUGGUAAAGGGGCCUUUGGACAGGAGGAGAAGAUGGCUAGGAAUGUCCAGCCCAACUUCCUGUGCCGCUUUCAGGGAUGACUGACCAUUCUGUAGAGGAGGAGGGUCCUGAUUCUACACCUGUUCGGUGGCAGUGGGAAUGGCUGCACCCUCAAUAAGAGGAUGAACCCAAACUGCCCCGCAAGCUAGCUGCAGCUCUGAGGGUAUGCCGGUGACAGUGAGGCCCCCAAGAGGGACACAGGGAACCUCCUCCUGACUCCCCACUUCUAACCAGCUCUUCCUCAUGUGCUCAGACUCCCUGAGACAUCUCCUGAUGUCCCCACCAUAAGUCCCUACAGAACUACACAAUGGCAAGGCCUCCAACCCAUGAUGUGACUGGGCCCCCGGGUCUGGGAAGGCCUCUUUGAUUUCCGACCAUAUCCAAAUCCCCUGUCACCACUGAGUGGUACUGAGUCCAGACUGACCCUUUUCCUAACACACACCCACAUGCAGCACACAGGCCAGCUCUGGGCCUGGAUCCCAACUCAGUGUAGCCACCUGAGGAGGGAGCCCUGUUCAAUUCUCUGCUCUCUCUGGUUAGACUUUUAGGACCCUUCUGAUGUAAACUUCCGGGCCACAGCCUGGGGUCAGAGUAGGACCACUCUUGUCAGCAGUCAAUCCUGUGUGAGUCCUGUGGGAACAGGAGCUGGAGAUGGCAGGAGGCUUCACCCCCACACAACCAUGGGAUGGCUUCUGGGUCUUCCCUGGAGAGAUGCCACACAAGCAGCAGAAACCUGCCCCAGGUCCAUUCGAGGUGGGGACCAUUCUCCUCUUCUGCAGGAAUUCUACCAAGAGCCCAGAGCCUCUACAGCCUCUAAGAUGUCUGCAGCCCACUGCCCGCAGCAGUUCUGGAGCGGCCUGGAGAGCUCUGAGAGCAUGGAAGCCCAAGACGCUCCCUUGGCUCAUUCCAGAGGCUGGCGAGGCCCCCUGGAGCCAGCAGGGCUGGGACUCACCUCAUCCAGUUGGCCUUGGUCUCGUCCGAUCCAUCUAUGGACUUGUAGCGGUUGUUCUUGUCCACAAUCUGGAAAACAGAGAGACUGUCUAGACUGCGCCAUUAGGGAAGGGGCUCUUACAUGCCUGGGUUCCUUCUUACCCGGGCCAGGGUCCAGUUCCAUCCUCAGCUUCACUCUUCCCAUUCUCCUACACUGUCCCCAAAACCACCCCAGAUGGGGCCAAGAAUAAUCCUUGUUCUCUUCUCUCCACCAACACCCAUUCUCUUAGAGACCCCGAAAAGGCCUGAGAGGAAAUAGUCACAUCCCUCUCAUUUGCACUGUACUUAUGAAAUCCUGGGCAACAUGGCCCAGGAGCGCCAUGCUCCCCACAGGUGACAAAAGCUGAAUACUGCCCUUCUCUCUCUGCAGUGUCUGUGGGCAAUGGGGGCCAUCACUGGGCCCCGGGCCUUAUGAUCUGAAAGGGUUCCUCUUUUCCCCAAACUUCAAAUAUUCAAGACCCUUGGAAUUUGGGGUAGGGUUGUGUCCAAAUGUACUCUACAAUCUGUACUCCACAAUCAUUCUGCAUAUCAAGAUUUUUUGCAACAUGGGAUUCUAGGCUGUCUUGGACUUUCCUUUUGGAGAGCAGGGGUCAUUAAAAGACAUUUCUAAUAUAGAUUUGAAGCUUGAAGGUGAAGACAGAAAGAGAGGCACUCAGAAAGAAAGAUUCACCAAAGAGCAUGGGUGUUGGCUUCUCUAAAAAUGUUUCUGAUUCUUUCUUGACCCACUUUUAAAGCAGCCUACUGUUGCUCUACUGUUGGUCUACUAUGGGUCUACUGUUGGUCUACUAUGGGUCUAUUGUUGGUCUACUAUGGAUAUACUAUUGGUCUGCUAUGGGUCUACUGUUGGUCUGCUAUGGGUCUACUGUUGGUCUACUAUGGAUCUACUAUUGAUCUACUAUGGGUCUACUGUUGGUCUACUAUGGAUCUUUUGUAGUCUACAAUCUUCCAUUUUGCUCAAUGCCUGCUACCAUUUUGCAUAGUGUUUUUUGAAGCUGAGAUUAUAAAAUUCUCUUCACUGCUUAAUGAUCACUUCCACAUUUCAGUUCUGGAAAAUUCUCAGCUUUUACAUUUUGAGUAAACCUCUUAUUUUCUCCAAUCUCUUCUGGUAGAAUUUCUAUUAAAUAAACACAGGAUAGCUCCUUCAAUCUUUGGUGUCUUUUAAUGACCUCUUCAUAGUUUACUCUGUCUUCAAGGAAACUUCUCAGAACUCUAUUCCAACUCACUAAGUGUCUCUCUGUGCUUACUCUAGUUUCUACCAUCUAUCAGAGUUUUCCUGUCUUACUUCACUUACUUUUUUGAUGUUUUAUUUUCAUUUUAGUUUGUAACAUUUUUGAGACAGAGCUUCUCUAAUGUAGCUCAGGCUGGUCUUGAACACCCAAUCCUCCUACUCAGUCUCCUGAGUGCUGUAAUUACAGGCAUUCACCACCAAGCCCAGUGUCUUUGCCUCAUUUUUAAUGAUUAAUCUUUCAUUUAAUAAAUAGUUUUUCACUUUCAA